UUUCGAGAAGGGUCUGGCUGCAGACCAUGGGCGAGUGGAGCUCCACUCUCAAACCGGAAAUACGUCACCUCCACUUGAAAACAUCAAGAUGGCGUCGCGGGGAGUACUUCAAACUUAAACUCAGGGAUAGGAUUGGCAUAGAAGAUGCAGCACUCUUUACAUUUUAAAUAUCAAAUGUAUAUCAAGUGUUAUCCAUCCUGAUAACACCUCCACAAAUAGAGACUGGAACUUCUGAGCACCAUCACCUUGUCUGCUAUGGGACUGUCAUAGGAGAAUGAUGCAGUACUUUUCUGUGUUGAAUUUACCUAACGUCAGCACACAGACUUAGUAUUGUUCCAGUUUUGCUGUGCUCAUGUCUUCUUUGUGUCCCCAGCCCAGCAAUCAGAUGCAUCAGAACAACAAAGCACAACUGUGGUGGCCCAGGCACCUUCAGCAACAAAGAUUUAACAACACUGUCAGUCAGGAGCAUAUUUAACAGGAGCCACACUCAACUGGCUUGAUGGUGACUUCAGUGCAGUGAAGAUAUUUAAAGAGACACUAUCUAAAGUACAGAAAGCCUUACAUCAUCUCUAGGUGCAGUCGCCUACAGUGCAGCCAGCUUCACAAAGACUGUGGGGCUGGUCACCAGGAAAAUGGCCAACAAGGAGUGCUUUUGGGGUUUUACUCCUCAGAUGACCACCCUGGCUACUGUAGCUGGGAUUGCUUCACAGACAAUGGAGGUCUUGAAGAGUAAAGUGUGCGUGCAUGUGAACACAUUGUGUUAUUACAGUAACAAUUAUGGUCACUUGCAGUUCAUGUGUUUUCAAUGUAGUGUAAGAUGUGUUAAUUAUUAUUAUUACUCAAAAACCAUUAAAACUUCUAAAUUGUGGAAGUUAUUCUUCA